rnacentral:rRNA from 2 species
UGGGGAAUAUUGCGCAAUGGGGGGAACCCUGACGCAGCAACGCCGCGUGAAGGAAGAAGGUCUUCGGAUUGUAAACUUCUUUGAUGAGGGACGAAAGGAAUGACGGUACCUCAAAAACAAGCCACGGCUAACUACGUGCCAGCAGCCGCGGUAAUACGUAGGUGGCGAGCGUUGUCCGGAAUUACUGGGUGUAAAGGGCGUGUAGGCGGGGGCAUAAGUCAGAUGUGAAAUACCGGGGCUUAACUCCGGGGCUGCAUCUGAAACUAUGUUUCUUGAGUGCUGGAGAGGAAAGCGGAAUUCCCAGUGUAGCGGUGAAAUGCGUAGAUAUUGGGAGGAACACCAGUGGCGAAGGCGGCUUUCUGGACAGCAACUGACGCUGAGGCGCGAAAGCGUGGGGAGCGAACAGG